GCGGAUGCGGCAUCAUCAAGAUUCACAAGCUUUAAGGCUUGAGUGAGAGGGGUGGCAUACGGUCACCUCCUUUAGCAAGCUUUAAGGCUUGAGUGAGAGGGGUGGCAUACGGUCACCUCCUUUAGUCCAAAGGGUCCUUUUUUAUGGGAAUCUUGAUGAUGCUGCAUCGGCAAAUACGUGACUAUUAAUCUUCUCUACUGUUGCAUGCCAAAUAUGUCCAGCAAGCUCUUCGAUUUGAUCAAAGUUGGAGUGUAAGUUAAUUUUCAAGCAAAAACCAUCAAGGUUAUGAUUAUCCAAUCUAGUUUUUGCUCUGUUCUCAUCUCCCAUAAUUUGGUGAUUUACUCGAGUGUUUAUCUGCUGCAUUUCAACGGAAGUGUGCUGGUUCUCGUUCUUUGGCUGCUGGUCUGGGAUUGUUCGGUGGUCUAUCAGCUUCAUUUGGCUGUGGCAACAUUUUUUCAGUUUAUUGUUCGUAUCAGUAUAGUGAAGAACAGAGGGGUGUAGCUUAAUUGGUUAGAUUUUAAAUUUGUUUUCUAGAGGUCAUCAGUUCGAGUCUCACAAACCUCGGGGUCAUUGGAGGCUUACAUGAUCGUUAAUUUCAGGAUCUAUGAGAUUAAUCAAGGUACGCGCAAGCUAGACCGGACAUCCACAUUAAUAAAAAAAAAUUUGAGUGACUGUCUUCUUAAACAUAAAAUUAAGAAUAAAAGUAAGCAUACAGGGAGGUAAGGAUGUUUCCAAUUCACUCCAAUUAAUGCAAACUGUGGACAUUCCAACGCUAGUUGAACACAUACAAGGAGCUUAAUCAAUAUUGUUCACAAAAAUGGAGGUGUUUAUCGGAUACAGUAAGGCCUGUCAAUCCUGCAUCAAAUUCGGUGUAAUAGAACUGCCAGGAAAUUUUGCUUGACCUCAUGUUUUGGGCUCAUGCUGAUAUGAAAGCUGUACUCGCUAGAAGUAUCAACGAGCCCAUGUUGCGUGCCAAGUUUAUUUA